UACGUAGGGGUGCGAGCGUUAAUCGGGAAUUACUGGGUGUAAAGCGUGCGCAGGCGGCUAUUUAGCUUGCUGUGAAAGCCCCGGGCUUAACCUGGGAACUGCAGUGAGGACUGGAUGGCUGGAGUGUGGCAGAGGGGGGUGGAAUUCCACGUGUAGCAGUGAAAUGCGUAGAGAUGUGGAGGAACACCGAUGGCGAAGGCAGCCCCCUGGGCUAACACGUGACGCUCGAGGCACGAAAGCGUGGGGAGCAAACAGG
rnacentral:rRNA from 1 species